UACGUAGGGUGCGAGCGUUAAUCGGAAUUACUGGGCGUAAAGCGUGCGCAGGCGGUUUUGUAAGCCAGAUGUGAAAUCCCCGGGCUUAACCUGGGAAUGGCCAUGGAAACUGGCGAACUGGAGUGUGGCAGAGGGGGGGUGGAAUUCCGCGUGUAGCAGUGAAAUGCGUAGAGAUGCGGAGGAACACCGAUGGCGAAGGCAGCCCCCCUGGGUCAAGAUUGACGCUCAUGCACGAAAGCGUGGGGAGCAAACAGGAUUAGAU
rnacentral:rRNA from 1 species